rnacentral:rRNA from 1 species
GCUAACGGCUGAACUGGCAACUUGGAGAAGUGGCAAGUCUUCCAGUAUGGGGAGCAAAACAGCUAUGGGUCAAGUCCGAUAUCUUUAGGAGAAGUCUUAUUGUGAGGGCGAGUUAUAUAACACCAUAGGACUGGCCGCCCCAUAUGAAAAGAUUAUAUUAGAAUUGAAUGAAGCUUUGUUUAUAUAUUGAUAAUGACAGUAUAUAUAUCGNGUCUUGACUAAUUGCGUGCCAGCAGUCGCGGUAAUACGUAAGAGACUAGUGUUAUUCAUCUUAAUUAGGUUUAAAGGGUACCCAGACGGUCAAUAUAGCUUAUAAAAUGUUAGUACUUGACUAGAGUUUUAUGUAAGAGGGCAGUACUUGAGGAGGAGAGAUGAAAUUUCGUGAUACCAAAGGGACUCUGUAAAGGCGAAGGCAGCCCUCUAUGUAAAAACUGACGUUGAAGGACGAAGGCACAGAGAACAAACAGGAUUAGAUACCCAAGUAGUCUUUGCAGUAAAUGAUGAAUGCCAUAGGUCAGAUUGCAUAUUAAUGUUUAUAGUCUAAUAGGGUUAGUCUAGCAAACUAAUGACAUAGACUUUUAUUAAUAAUAUUUGGUCUAUAAAUGAAAGUGUAAGCAUUUCACCUCAAGAGUAAUGUGGCAACGCAGGAACUGAAAUCACUAGACCGUUUCUGACACCAGUAGUGAAG